rnacentral:tRNA from 2 species
CACUGGGAAGCUAAAUAGGGAUCUCAGCAUUGGCCUUUUAAGCCAAAGAAUGGUGCCUCCCAACCACCUCCAGUGA